GGGUGAAUCUCUUGAGAUGGAAAACAGAGUGGCUGGUGCUGAAAUGAUUGCUUGACAGUCUGGCCUACUUAAAAGUGAAGAGUUGGACUGCAUAGAUAAUUUAUUUGGACUACUUUGUUUUGCAAUUCUUCAGCUUUCCAUCUGAGAGUACAUUCAAAGAACCAUUCCUGGCAGCAGCAUCACUUCGUGACACCGAGGUAGGCUUUCAUGACAGAAUAACAUAA
rnacentral:lncRNA from 1 species